CCAACACAAAACCAUACUUUACAAAAAAGGCUUUGCCCAGGAGACUGGAACAGAUUUUUCCUUAAGAAGAAAGAUAAAGAAAAGAAGUUGGUUGUUAAUGAGCUACAGGUUCAGGAACUGAAACCAGAGGUUUACCGCAACAUCUUCAGUUGUGUAGUCAGUGCUCUCAGAGUGUACAAGCCUCUUCUUCCUGUCGUCAUAAAAUGAAUAUACUCUUCAGGACUGAGUACGACGUCCUGCUGGCGCUCCACAAAAGAAGCAAACCAAGUCAUCUUUCAGCUGCUUUUCAGGCGGUGAAGACAGCAGAGUCACAUGAAGAACCAGAUGAACAUGUGACCAUCGGUCAGAUCCAAGCUGACAACAGCAGCGAUGACUCCAACAUGAAGCAGAAGAUUCAGAUAAUCUUAGUUUUUACAAUCUAAAGCAGGGGUGUUUUUUCCCUCUAACUGAGGUUUAAUGGUCCUUAAUGUAGUUCUCUGGAGUCUUAAAGCUUUAUAAAUAUAAAUUUGUCAGCCAUUCCAUACUGAUAGAUGUCAGUGUUGUUUGUUUUACUUUUCCUCAUUUGUAUUUACUUAGGAUGUCUUUGAUAUUAUAAUGCAAGGUUUUGGAAUAUUAAAGUGUGACAAAAUGUCAAAAACAGA